rnacentral:rRNA from 1 species
CGGACGGGUGAGUAAUGUCCGGGAAACUGCCUGAUGGAGGGGGGUAACUACUGGAAACGGUAGCUAAUACCGCAUAACGUCGCAAGACCAAAGAGGGGGACCUUCGGGCCUCUUGCCAUCGGAUGUGCCCAGAUGGGAUUAGCUAGUAGGUGGGGUAACGGCUCACCUAGGCGACGAUCCCUAGCUGGUCUGAGAGGAUGACCAGCCACACUGGAACUGAGACACGGUCCAG